ensembl:lncRNA
GUGGAGGCUAUAUACAGGGUAUUACGGUACAGAGUCAAUGUGGAGGCUAUAUACAGGGGGUACCGGUACAGAGUCAAUGUGGAGGCUAUAUACAGGGUAUUACGGUACAGAGUCAAUGUGGAGGCUAUAUACAGGGGGUACCGGUACAGAGUCAAUGUGGAGGCUAUAUACAGGGGGUACCGGUACAGAGUCAAUGUGGAGGCUAUAUACAGGGGAUACCGGUACAGAGUCAAUGUGGAGGCUAUAUACAGGGUGUUACGGUACAGAGUCAAUGUGGAGGCUAUAUACAGGGGGUACCGGUACAGAGUCAAUGUGGAGGCUAUAUACAGGGGGUACCGGUACAGAGUCAAUGUGGAGGCUAUAUACAGGGGGUACCGGUACAGAGUCAAUGUGGAGGCUAUAUACAGGGGAUACCGGUACAGAGUCAAUGUGGAGGCUAUAUACAGGGGGUACCAGUACAGAGUCAAUGUGGAGGCUAUAUACAGGGGGUACCGGUACAGAGUCAAUGUUGAGGCUAUAUACAGGGGAUACCGGUACAGAGUCAAUGUGGAGGCUAUAUACAGGGGGUACUGGUACAGAGUCAAUGUGGAGGCUAUAUACAGGGGGUACCGGUACAGAGUCAAUGUGGAGGCUAUAUACAGGGAUACCGGUACAGAGUCAAUGUGGAGGCUAUAUACAGGGUGUUACGGUACAGAGUCAAUGUGGAGGCUAUAUACAGGGGGGUACUGGUACAGAGUCAAUGUGGAGGCUAUAUACAGGGGGUACCGGUACAGAGUCAAUGUGGAGGCUAUAUACAGGGGGUACCGGUGUCAAGGUAAUUGAGGUAAUAUGUAUAUGUGGGUAGAGUUAUUAAAGUGACAAUGCAUAGAUAAUAACAGGGAGUAGCAGGAGUAUGGGGG